AACGCAUAUUGCGCUCGAGGCUUCGGCCAAGAGCAUGUCUGCCUCAGCGUCGCUUUACCCCCUCACUCCCCAAUCUCUGGGUGCAGUGGAACUGGCUUUCGCAGUGCCGUUUAUUCGGCGCUGCGUCGGCUGAAGCGCAGAGGUUGAUGCACGGACCCGUAAAGGGCCUCGGCUGGGUAGGCAAUUUUUUGCUAAUGCUUUAGCCGUUGGCUUGGGACUGUGCUUGUCGACCCAAACCAGGAAAAGGCGUUCGCGCCUUCUUUCUAACUUCGACCUGAGCUCAGGCAAGAACACCCGCUGAACUUAA
rnacentral:misc_RNA from 1 species